UACUUUCCCUAAUUCAGUGUGUACAUAAGAUUUGCAGUUUUGGCAAGGAAAGUUAGUGAAUAAAAGUCUAAUGUCUAGAUCACACCUUACUGGGUAACGUUAACAAACUUCUAAAGGAAUGAAAAUACGGCGACAAAACGCAAUCCGAUGAUUUUCUGUUGAUGAAUAACGACUCUGCCGCUGUUGAAGGUUCCCGAGAUCAGGGUUUGAAAGCACAUAAAACGGAUGACAACCGAACGUUUAUUUGGAAACGGUCCGUCAUUUAACUCAUUUUAAGGAACGGACCUCACCGAAUAAGAAAGAAACAACUCGUACCUAAUACGAAUGCGUAAUGUAUUGAAAACUGAGUGACAAAAUGUCAAAUAGCACGGACUUCACCAAAUUUCAAAUGGCUUUGACAAGGAAAGGACAAGAAACGCGGAGAUGAACGGAUCAAAAAUUGUGUGCCACCCGUUGGAACAUCUUCGCUAGCCAAGGGUUUACGAUCCACUCUGCUAGAGGAGCAGACUGGAUCGUAAACCCUUGACUAGAGAAGAUGCUAGAGGAGCAGACUGGAUCGUAAACCAGAUGCUAGAGGAGCAGAGAGGAUCGUAAACCCUUGGCUAUCGAAGAUGCUAGAGGAACAGGGUGGAUCGUAAACCCUUGACUAGCGAAGAUGCUAGAGGAGCAGAGAGGAUCGUACACCCUUGGCUAGCGAAGAUGCCGUUGGACGCACGGUAGCAUUAACUGAGCAAAAGGGAACCGGACAUGUUGAACAGAGAAUUAACGAAUUUUCUGGUCGUAAAUUGCCUAUAAAUCAUGUCAAAGUCGGGCAAUUUUACACCCAUUGAAAAUGUUAAAAGGAAGACUAUUCCCUCGUGAUGACAUUUAAGUUUGCUUGAGACAUUGCUCGGAAAGAAGAUUUCAAAGCAAAUUGAUAUGAUCGGAUACUUGUCAGUGUACCCAAGAGACUGAGAUCCACCAAUUGUUCUUAUUCAAGUAUAACUUAGUAGGCCCAAAAAAUCUUACACAUAUUUUUUGUGUUAACUGUGUGCUCUACUCCGUCUACACUAAAACAAACUAAACGCAGUUUCCUUUUUCUUUUAAAUUUCAUUCUCUCAUUCUUAUGUAAAUUUCUCUGUA